ACCAAAACUACAUAAGAAUUGACUUAAAAUGCUUUAAAAGAUGAGCUCUAGCCUAUGUAAUUAGUAUCAAAAGUGCCGCAAUUCUACGACACAUCAGUGGGAACUAAAGUCAUCGUUUAUACAGACCAUGCAGCCAUCAAGUAUUUGUUUGAGAAAAAGGAUCCUAAGCCUAGAGUCAUUCAUUGGGUUCUUCUUUUGUAUGAAUUUGAUGUGAAAAUCAGAGAUCGAAAAGGGGCCAAAAAUUAGGUAGUUGAACACUUGUCGCACUUCGAAACUCGCACACAUAUGGAUGAAGGGGGUGAAAUUCAGGAAAGUUUUUGUGAUGAGAAAUUUCUAGCCGUCACAGCUGGCACAACCCCAUGGUAUGCUGACUAUGCGAACUUCAUCGUAAGUGGGGCGACUCCGUCAGAGUUGUCACCAGAUGGUAAGAGAAAAUUCAUGCAUGAUGUAAGAUUUUAUCUGUGGGAUGAGCCAUUUUGUUUAAGCAUUAUCCAGAUCAGUUGGUGUGGCACUGUGUCCCUAAGGAGGAGAUGGAAGCAAUUUUGCAAGAUUGUUAUGCAUCAUCUUAUAGAAGGCACCAUGGUGGAGACAAAACAACUGCAAAGGUGUUCGAGUCGGGAUUUUAUUGGCCCAAUCUAUUCAAGGAUGCACAUGUUUUUGUGAAGAGAUAUGAUAUGUGCCUAAGAAAGGGAACGAUUUCAAAGAGGCAUGAGACGACAUUGAAGGGCAUAAUGUUGGUCAAAAUCUUCGAUGUAUUGGGAAUAUACUUCAUGGGGUUGUUUCCAUCAUCAAAUGCUCAUAGGUACAUCUUGGUUGCAGUUGAUUAUGUGUCGAAGUCGGUUGAGGUUGUGUCUUUUCCUACGAAUGAUGCUAAGGUUGUGGUGAACUUAAUGAAGAAAAACAUUUUCACGAGAUUUGGAACUCCGCAUGCUCUGAUUACUGAUAGAGGUACUCACUUUUGCAAGAAAUUAUUGGGCAACCUCUCGGCUAAGUAUGGUGUGAAACACAAGGUCACAACUGCCUAUCAUCCGCAACCAAUGGUCAAGUCAAGGUUUCGAAUAGGGAGGUGAAGCAAAUUUUGGAGAAGUCAGUGAGCGCAACAAGAGGAUUGGGAUAUCAAGCUGGGUGAUGCUCUAUGGGCAUAUCUAAUUGCGUACAAAACUACAAUUGGCACUUCACUGUGUCGGUUGGUUUAUGGGAAGGCUUGUCACUUGCACGUUGAGCUUGAACACGAAGCAUAUUGGGAAAUCAAGAAUCUCAACUUUGAUAUGGAUCUAACUGGGGAAAAACAAAUGUUGAAACUCAAUGAGCUUGAAGAGUUUCGAUUUCAUGCUUAUGAGAAUGCAGAGCUGUAUAAAGAGAAAACAAAGAGAUGUCAUGACAAAUAUAUUAUGCAUCGUGAGUUUGAACCAAAUCAAGCCAUUCUAUUGUUCAAUUCAAGGUUGAAGCUAUUUCCUGGGAAGCUCAAGUCUAGAUGGACGCGUCCAUUUGAAGUAGUUCAGGCUACAAAGCAUGGAGCUAUCAAACUACGGGAUCCCAAGAGUGAUGGCAUGUUUUAUUCAAUAGGAAAAGAGAUAAACACUAUUGGGGUUGUGGCGUUCAUUGUCACAAAACUUCGAUAGACUUGUUGGAUGCUUGAGGGAAUGUCUUGAGCCAUGUGCAAUGUUAAAUCAGGUGCUUCAUUGGAGGCAACCCAUUAUGAUGUUGUAUUCGUCAUGCCAUGACGUUAACUAAGGGGCUCGUUGGGAGGAACCUUAUUCGUAGUUUAGUUUAGCUUAAUUAGAUUUUCUCUCUCUUUGUUUUACGAUACUAACAAGUUUUUAGUUGGAUUUUGGUGGUUGAAUAGGUACGAGAGCAUGUUGAGAGGUCAAAAAUUCAUGAAGGAGUCCCAAAAAGGGACCUUAGGCACCAAAGCACAGAUGACCUCGCGCCAGAGCUAGUGCUUCUUGCCUAGGCAUGUGCGUUCCCUCGCGCCAGAGCUGGCGACGUGCGCUCCAUUGUGCCCUACUUGUUGCACCUCACCGGGCGCUGCCUGGUCUACUAAUCACCCUAGACCUCGCAUUUAAUGAUCUGUCUUGCGGUAGGCCUUACGUCCCAGCUUCUGAGGCCAGAUAAGAUUUUUCUUCUUCUCUCCUUUUAAAACCUCUAACACCAUUUUAAAACACACAAAACAAAGCACACCAACACAAAACAAAAGCACGACCAAAUCCUUCAAAACCUCACUGCCCAACUCUCUCCCUUCUCUCAUUCCCUCAACUAACUUCCCCAAACUCCCUUCUCACACCUACAUCCUCUCAUAAUCACCAUUAAUUGAAGGUUCCUGCUCCCUCUACAACAUCUAGAAUGAAUUCUUACUUCUCCUUCCUUUAUUUUUAGAUUGCUUGAGGUACAAAUAUGGUAUGCCAAAACCAAAUUCACCACCAACUGAUAAAGGAAUGGGCAAAGCUACUACCCCCACCAAAGGGAAGACAUCCACUGUACCGCCACCGAAAAAGCGGAAAGAGGGAGACGCCACAUCUAGUUAGGAUAAGGUACUACGGAUAGUUGCAGCUAUGGCAGCUUCACGCCCCAGACCUCAAGGGUAGCAUGAAUAUGGAAUUAAAACUAUACCCCAUCUACCAAGGCAUGAUAUAAGAUUUGUCGGCCUAAGCAUAUGCACCUCGAUCUAGCCGUUGAUGAGCGCCAUUUACGUACUAAGUAUCCAGCAAUAUAGAAGUUUGUUCAUGAGCUUGGGUAGAGCUAUGUGUUUGGGAACCCUAGGGAUAUUAAUAUUAACCUCUUUCGCUAUAUUUAUAAAGGAUAUGAUCCAAAUGAUCCGGAGCAAUAUGUGCCUAUUCGGGGUAGAUUGAUUGAUUUUUCUGCAACCGCUUUAUGCAACUACUUGGGAGCUCCAAAUGUUCAACAUGAUCCCCUGGGUAACUUCAUUUCCUACCCGAUAUAUCGAUAGCUUAGACACAUAUUAUGUGGUAUCAAUUAUGUGGCCGCCUGGGUAUAUGACAAAAAGACUGGCCGCCAUAGGAAAUUUCAAAAGAAGAAGAUGAAGCUGGAGUCUCAAGUUUGAUUGAAAUUGAUUAACACUCGGUUCUGGAGUUUCAAGUUUGAUUGAAAUUGAUUAACACUCGGUUGCUAUCGUGCAAUCAUGACACUCUGAUUUGGCGGGAGAAGUGUGCUUGCUUUACUUCCUAAUGAACGGUCAAAAAGUGAAAGUUGGACAUUUGAUACGCCAUCAGAUGGCAUAGGUAAGAAAGAGCAAGAGUUUGAUAGGUUAUUCUUUGGCAAUGUGUUGACUAAUUAUCUGAGAAAGGGGGAGGUAGAGGAGGAGAUAGAGUUUGAUAUAAUCAUCCCAGCACCCUUCGAGGGACUGCCAUCACCAGCAUCCAGCCUAAGAAAGAGAUGAUAUGAUUGCGCCUGCUAGUGACGAGCACAAUACUCAUGAUUAUAGCUUUAUGGCCUAUUUCUAUAUGAUGUUAUACUUGCAGCUACAAAUUGGAGGAAGGUCAGCUACUCAGGAGGAGAGGACUAACUUAUGUUAGCACUUCCCGCUCAAUACCAUGCACAUCAUCUGGUGGGGCUUGGUGAGGGCUAGAGAUUACCUGAGGACGAAGAUUUCAACACGCCCAAAUAUUGAGAGGCCGAGCCAGAGCAGCUUGAGGAUGAAGCUGAGGAGGAUGCUAAGCCAGGAGAUGAUGAUGAAGAUUGGGCAGCUGCUGAUAUGGCCUUCUAUGAUGAGGGCGAUGAUGAGGAGUGACCAGGAAGAUUUUCUUACCACCUCACUUAAUUUUCAUUAUUUUAUAUUCAUUGAGGACACUACAUGAGAUAAGUAUGGGUGGGGGAUUAUCUGGAGCAUAUAUAUAGUAGGUUGGUUGUUAGUUUUUA